rnacentral:rRNA from 1 species
CCUACGGGUGGCAGCAGUGGGGAAUAUUGCACAAUGGGGGAAACCCUGAUGCAGCGACGCCGCGUGAAUGAAGAAGUACUUCGGUAUGUAAAGUUCUAUCAGCAGGGACGAAAAUGACGGUACCUGACUAAGAAACCCCGGCUAACGACGUGCCAGCAGCCGCGGUAAUACGUAGGGGGCAAGCGUUAUCCGGAUUUACUGGGUGGAAAGGGAGCGUAGGCGGGUUAGCAAGUCAGAAGUGAAAGCCCGGGGCUCAACUCCUGGACUGCUUUUGAAACUGUGUAACUAGAGUGCAGGAGAGGUAAGUGGAAUUCCUAGUGUAGCGGUGAAAUGCGUAGAUAUUAGGAGGAACACCAGUGGCGAAGGCGGCUUACUGGACUGUAAAUGACGCUGAGGCUCGAAAGCGUGGGGAGCAAACAGGAUUAGAUACCCGUGUAGUC